rnacentral:rRNA from 1 species
GAUGAACGCUGGCGGCGUGCCUAAUACAUGCAAGUCGAGCGAACAGACGAGGAGCUUUCUCCCCUGACGUUAGCGGCGGACGGGUGAGUAACACGUGGAUAACCUACCUAUAAGACUGGGAUAACUUCGGGAAACCGGAGCUAAUACCGGAUAAUAUAUUCAACCGCAUGGUUCAAUAGUGAAAGACGGUUUUGCUGUCACUUAUAGAUGGAUCCGCGCCGCAUUAGCUAGUUGGUAAGGUAACGGCUUACCAAGGCGACGAUGCGUAGCCGACCUGAGAGGGUGAUCGGCCACACUGGAACUGAGACACGGUCCAGACUCCUACGGGAGGCAGCAGUAGGGAAUCUUCCGCAAUGGGCGAAAGCCUGACGGAGCAACGCCGCGUGAGUGAUGAAGGUCUUCGGGUCGUAAAACUCUGUUAUUAGGGAAGAACAAAUGUGUAAGUAACUAUGCACGUCUUGACGGUACCUAAUCAGAAAGCCACGGCUAACUACGUG